AUGAUUAUAUUAUUUCACUGUGCAGACGACAAUGACCAGAGGUUUGUCUCCCAGACUGUGGUCCAACAGCCUGUGUCUGCAUCAGCUCAGCUGGGAGACCCUGUGGCUCUCCAGUGCUCUAUUACCUCCCAGAGGACGGACCACAAUAACCAGUGCCAAGGGGAACCCAGUGUGUACUGGUUCAGAUCUGGAUCAGGACCAUCUCACCCUGCUGCCAUUUACAUGAAUGGGAACAGGAGUGGUGAAUGUCAGAAUAGUUCUGGGCCUCCGUCUGCUCCACAGAGCUGUGUCUACACUCUCCCCAAGAACAAUGUAGACUCCUCUGAUGCUGGGACCUACUACUGUGCCCUGGCAGCAUGUGGGGAAGUUGUGUUUGGAAAUGGAACCAAGCUGGACACACCAGGUAAAGAUAUUUUACUUCCUUCUGAAGAAGAUAAUAGACACAUCAAUGAAUGA